CCAAGCGUCUGAUCCCCUUCGGGGUCAGAACCCAGAUUAGAUAGGGGGGUUACCGCGUUCAACACUGCAACCAGACAGCGUAGCUCACCCCAAGGACGCCCAGCCGACGGAGCCUUCGAGGCGAAUCGAAGUGGGUGGGUGGUGGUACCUAUCCGUGCGGACUCACAAGACGUCCUACCACCAGUAAUUAUGCAGAUUAUAAUUUUGCGGGUUUAAUCUUUAGUACACGAUGUUAUACCUUCAGUCUGGAAGUCAAUCGUGAACAUUUGUUAAGUACGUAUUUCAUUAAAAAAAUUGCUAUCCGCCUGCGGGAUUCGAACACCGUUGCAUCGCUCGAUACGAAUGUAUCGGACGUCUUGUCCUUUAGGCCACGACGACUUUGACUUCACUUGUAACUGGUGCAUACUGUCUUCCCCGAACCUAUAGAUACUACAAUGUAAAUGUCACCCGCCACCCCCUUGAAGCAUAGGUCAACGUCUAAAUUCUAUUGAAGAAACAACACCAAUGCUUCACAACAAAAUAAACAAUAAAAUCUUUCACUUUUUUCAAUUAUUUAUUAUAAACAGAAAUAUAUCAAAUAAAAAAGGGUCAAAUUUUUGUUCACAAACAAGUUUUUUUUAACAUAUCAAAGUCAAAAUGACAAAAUAAAUGGAAAAGUGUUUUAACAAAACAGAACGACAAUAUAAAUAACAAAUCAAGAAUCAAGUAUUUGAACGAAAUACAAUAAUAAUAUAACUGAAAUGGAAAGACAACGAAAUAUGCCUAAUAAGAGUUAAAAGUAAAUAACAUGAAAUUACCGUUUUAACACAGUGGCCACUGAAUUAAAAUACUGGUAUGGUCCAGGCCUUAUAUCUUUUUUUGCUCAAAGGCAUAUCGAAACAAAGUAUGUACAACACUGCUUCCAGAUUCCAGAAACUACCACUUUGAUAGGUUUGGUAAGCCACUGAAGAACUAUCCUAGUGGAUUGCGCUUUUUGAUGGCUCGCUCGAAAUGUAGAGCCCGGCCCACAGUCUGAGCUGAGUCUUUGGAGAGCAAGGCCGAUGUAACCACUUUAAGCACAUAUAUCGCAAAGGCCAUGGGCAAGGCAAGAGUCUUCUAUCGAUGUUAUCAUCAUACGAAAUGCCCGUGACUUUGAAAGUGGAUAGCUAACUUUUUGGAUGGACGGAGCAUCAAAGUAUUUAGUGAUGGUUGCUGCUCCAAUAUCAUUAACCAUUAACGCUAGCGUUGCAUAAAUCUCGAUGAUCACCGUGAUUUCCUACAGACAUUCAAUUAAUUCGAUCAGACAGAUAUUAUGCAUCGUACCUACGAAUCGGUGCAGUAUCAAUGUUUAAAUUGUUAACUUGGAUGUAAUUUCGUAUGUAUUCACGAUCAGAUUCAGUUAAUAAUACCCAACUCUCUAAUUCAACUAAUAUUUCUAAACUAAUGCAGCUUUGAAUGAUUCUUUGCACUGAUAACAUUGUUAAAAAUUCUGAUAACAUUAUACGUAAUUCUUUUAAAUAAAUAAGUGGAUUUUUAUCCAAAACCUUAAAGAUAAAUUCAUCAGUUAGCUGAAAUGCAGUCCCUAUGUGAAUAAAUUCUGCAUUCAAACAAUUAUUUAAGAUAAAAAGUAAUUGCUCAUCAGAGCAUUUAGAUACACAAGUCACCCUUUUUAAGUUACGGAAAGGCAAAAUUUCUAAGUUUUUUGUGUAUAACGAUGUAUGCUGUAUCAUUGAACAGUUGUAAAGAGUGAGACUCUCUAGAAGUGGGCACAUUUGACUGAUGUACAUGAGUGCAUUUAAAUCGAUCUGAUCAACGUGCUCUAGAUGUAAAUUAACAAUAUUGCAUCCUUUUACUUGUAAAACUUGCUUUAUCUGAUCCGCAUAAAAAUCACACGAAAGCAGUUUUAAUUCGGUUAAAUUCUUAAAACCAAUAAGAACCAUUAGGUCACUUUGUAACGUAUUAUGAAAAACGGUUAAAUUUGUAACGUACGGGCACAUUUGAACAGCUAAUUGUAAGUGAUCGGAAGUAGCAUAUCUACUCACGUACGUUCUUAAAUUGAAUGGAGCAGACUCUGCAUAGUACAAGUUGAUAAUUUCCAAGACCCUACCAAUUUCAUCACACCUACCAAUAUCUUGAAUGUUUUUGCAUUUUAACAACAACUUAACAAACCCAUCAACUGUAACAAAGGUGCGGUACAAUUGAAUGCUUGUUAAUUGUUUGAACUCUGCUAAUAUAUCUAUACUGUCAUUAGUGAUACAUUUUGAGCAAGAAAUAUCGAGUUUAGUGAGAUUUCUACAAUUUUCAACAAUACAUUUUAAUAUAUUGUCUGUACAGUCAUAAUUUAAGAAUAAAUAUUUUAAAUUAUGAAGGUU